UACAGAGGGUGCGAGCGUUGUUCGGAAUUAUUGGGCGUAAAGGGCGCGUAGGCGGUGCGGUAAGUCACCUGUGAAAUCUCCUGGCUCAACUGGGAGCUUGCAGGCGAAACUGCCGUGCUGGAGUGUGGGAGAGGUGCGUGGAAUUCCUGGUGUAGCGGUGAAAUGCGUAGAUAUCAGGAAGAACACCCGUGGCGAAGGCGGCCCACUGGGCCGGUACUGACGCUGAGGCGCGAAGGCGUGGGGAGCGAACGGG
rnacentral:rRNA from 1 species